CUUUAAACUAACCAAAACUUUGUCAAGAUCUGGGUUGUCAUAUGGAAGAAAGAUGUCACAGUCUUCCCCUGACAGUGGAGUGGAAGCUCCUGUCACAGCGGAAGCUCUUCCGGUGUCCGCUCAAUGAAUGGAGGAAUAAAUGAAGAGACGGGAGGGUAGCUGCCCGGUACCCAAGCCCAGCACAGUGCCUGGGGCACAGGAGCAAGCACAGGAACUCCCAUUUCAGCAGGGGAUACAUUCCAAGGCCCCAGGGACCCUGAAACCACAGAUAGUACCGAAUCCUGUGGGUACUGUUUUUCCCCCAUGCAUAUAUACCUGUGGCAAAGCUUAAUGUAUAAAUUACACACAGUGAGAGAUUAACAACAGUAACUACUAAUAAAAAAGAACAACACUGCCUGGCCAGGGUGGCUCAGUGGAUGAGCGUCAACCUAUGAACCAGGAGGUCAAUGUUCGAUUCCCGGUCGGGGCACAUGCCCAGGUUGCAGGCUCAAUCCCCAGUGUGGGGCGUGCAGGAGGCAGCCAAUCAAUGAUUCUCUCUCAUUGCUGAUGGUUCUGUCUCUCUCUCAUUCUCCCUUCCUCUCUGAAAUCAAUAAAAAUAUAU